rnacentral:rRNA from 1 species
CGGAGCUUGCUCCACCGGAAAAAGANGAGUGGCGAACGGGUGAGUAACACGUGGGUAACCUGCCCAUCAGAAGGGGAUAACACUUGGAAACAGGUGCUAAUACCGUAUAACAAUCGAAACCGCAUGGUUUUGAUUUGAAAGGCGCUUUCGGGUGUCGCUGAUGGAUGGACCCGCGGUGCAUUANCUAGUUGGUGAGGUAACGGCUCACCAAGGCCACGAUGCAUAGCCGACCUGAGAGGGUGAUCGGCCACAUUGGGACUGAGACACGGCCCAAACUCCUACGGGAGGCAGCAGUAGGGAAUCUUCGGCAAUGGACGAAAGUCUGACCGAGCAACGCCGCGUGAGUGAAGAAGGUUUUCGGAUCGUAAAACUCUGUUGUUAGAGAAGAACAAGGAUGAGAGUAACUGUUCAUCCCUUGACGGUAUCUAACCAGAAAGCCACGGCUAACUGCGUGCCAGCAGCCGCGGUAAUACGUAGGUGGCAAGCGUUGUCCGGAUUUAUUGGGCGUAAAGCGAGCGCAGGCGGUUUCUUAAGUCUGAUGUGAAAGCCCCCGGCUCAACCGGGGAGGGUCAUUGGAAACUGGGAGACUUGAGUGCAGAAGAGGAGAGUGGAAUUCCAUGUGUAGCGGUGAAAUGCGUAGAUAUAUGGAGGAACACCAGUG